GACACAGGGAGGUAGUGACAAGAAAUAACAAUACGGGGCUUAAUGUCUUGUAAUUGGAAUGAUGGGAAUUUAAACCUCUUCCAGAGUAUCAAUUGGAGGGCAAGUCUGGUGCCAGCAGCCGCGGUAAUUCCAGCUCCAAUAGCGUAUAUUAAAAUUGUUGCAGUUAAAAAGCUCGUAGUUGAAUUUCUGCUGCAUUACAUAUCUCUUGUUUGAGUUUGUUUUUGUGGCUUAUUUCGGUUUGAUUUUUUCUUUCCGGAUGAUUACUUUGAGAAAAUUAGAGUGCUCAAAGCAGGCUUUUGCCUUGAAUAGUUUAGCAUGGAAUAAUAAAGUAGGACUUUGGUUCUAUUUUGUUGGUUUUAGGUACCAAAGUAAUGGUUAAUAGGAACAGUUGGGGGCAUUCGUAUUUAACUGUCAGAGGUGAAAUUCUUAG
rnacentral:rRNA from 2 species